AAAGUUUGACAGACAAUCGCCGGCGGCCGAGAGGCCGCGGGAGGAAAGUCCGGGCUCCACAAGGCAGGGUGCUGGAUAACGUCCAGUCGGCGCGAGCCGAAGGAUAGUGCCACAGAAAUGGACCGCCGAUGGCCGCUUCGCUUCACGGCGCAACGCGCACAGGCAAGGAUGGAACCGAGGUGUAAGAGACCCCGAGGAACGCUGGUGACUUCGUUCCUGGUAAACCCCACCUGGAGCAAGACCUAAUGGAACGCCGCCGAUCCCGCAAGGGAGGAGGCAGCCCUCGCCUGGGGCGCGUUCGGGUUGGUCGCUGGAGCUGUGCAGCAAUGUACGGCCUAGAUAGAUGAUUGUCGCUUGACGUGGGAGGGUAGUUCCCGUUAUAACCACCAGAAGCACAGAACCCGGCUUACGGCAGACUUUCCUA
rnacentral:RNase_P_RNA from 1 species